UACGGAGGGUGCAAGCGUUAUCCGGAUUCACUGGGUUUAAAGGGUGCGUAGGCGGAUAGGUAAGUCCGUGGUGAAAUCCUGCAGCUUAACUGCAGAACUGCCGUGGAUACUAUCUAUCUUGAAUGUCGUGGAGGUUAGCGGGAUAUGUCAUGUAGCGGUGAAAUGCUUAGAUAUGACAUAGAACACCCAUUGCGAAGGCAGCUAACUACGCGAUAAUUGACGCUGAUGCACGAAAGCGUGGGGAUCAAACAGG
rnacentral:rRNA from 1 species